rnacentral:tRNA from 1 species
GGGCUUGUAGCUCAGUUGGUUAGAGCGCGCGCUUGAUAAGCGUGAGGUCGGAAGUUCAAGUCUUCCCAGGCCCACCAGCCUUCGCGCUUCGCUGCUUCGGCUAGGCAAGCCCUUCGAAAUGAAGGCUGCCA